rnacentral:lncRNA from 1 species
CGGGAAGCUCGUUAGAAACAAACGACCGUUGCGCGCUCGCGAUCGUGCGCGCGCAGGAGCGUCUGUUUGCUAGCUGAGAGGAAACAUGAUGCUACCGUUCCCACAAACUUUCAGGACCCAUGAAGUUCUCCAGAGAACGUUAUAAGCAAGCAGUGCGCUCGCGUGACGCUCAUUGAGGCCGGGGACGGUUUAGUUUAGAGCACGUCAGGAAUCCGCUCCAGGGCCCGUGGGUUGUGGAUUAUUCUGGUUGUUCGCGGCCUUGGGUCAAACUACCGCCGCAAGUGUGACAGACGAGACGCAAGGGAUAACGUCGCUUUCUUCACGUCAACGAGGAGCCGGUGGUGUCAGACGCCUGCAGCUGAUGGUGGGAUGCUAAUUAACGCUAGAAGGACCUCAUUGGUGCUGACGUGCUGGAGCUUCUGUUGCUCCGGUGACAUUUGCCACAGGAACAGCUCCGGAUGAAACGGACGUGAGGCGGGAGGACGACGCACCCAGAAACGGAGCAGAUGAAAACUUGAAGAUGCGAUUGGCUGUCUCAGGUUUUUCUAAUCCCACCCUGUGAUGCUCUAAUCGGCCUUUUCUUUUGUAGAUAGUAAAUACUUUCAUUACAUCGGGCGGAUGUGAAGGCUUAUUAUAAAAAUGGAAAUGAAGAGCGGAGGAGAGGCGUUAUUAAAAACCCGCCUUGCUGCACAUGCCCUGUCAGGCCACUGGCACCCACACCAUUAGCAUGAAGAUAAUCUGAGCUCCGUGCGUGGGCCCUAAAUGCUCAUUGAGGAACUUCAGGCUCUUGGGAAACAGCAAUGCAAACAAUGGCAGCUCCGGAUUUUCUCACCCCGGCUUCCUGUCAAGAUGUUUUUUGUGGGUCAUAAUUAAAAGGGAGAAUUAGCCGUGAUUGUACAUUUCAUCCUCUUCCAAAUCCAGGUCACUGGUUUCCUUCUCCACCAUCUGCUCCAUUUUAAGUCACAGUUGUUCACAUUUUCUCUAUUUCUUCGUUGAAAAACUCCAUAAUAAACCAUUUCCUGAUCAAAAUGAAGCCUGAGCG